CCUCUUUGUUGUUUGAGUCACUUUGAGAGGACUAUUCCUAAAAGCCAAAUUUAACAACACAUCCAGCCUCAGACUCAGGUCCCUGGACUUUGGGACUCAUUCUGCUCGACUUGAUCCCUGCUCUGCCCAUUGAUCACAUACACACGUUUACACCUGGCAGAAGAGGAAGAGGAGGCAUGAAGGAAUGGCCUCUUCAGAAUGGAGAAAAGUUAAUUAUCCUGUGGAGUGCUCUGAAGAAUGUGGAGAGAAAACCUUCCCCAUGAGAACAUGCCUAAGACAGACUGCUGAAGAAGGCGGCAAAUGGAACAGCGCUGAAUCAGCCUGGUCAUCCCAGUCAAGCCUCCAGACAUGUAAGCACCCUCCUCUGAUCUGCAGAGCUGCCUGGCCCAAAUACUGUUGACCACUCUUGAGUAAGCCCCACCAAGAUCAGCUGAGAACAGUAGAACUGACCAGAUGACUCUAACCUCAUGAAUAAAUCCAAGUGUUUUU
rnacentral:lncRNA from 1 species